UACGAAGGGGGCUAGCGUUGCUCGGAAUUACUGGGCGUAAAGAGUGUGUAGGCGGUGCUCUAAGUUCGGUGUGAAAUCUCUCGGCUUAACUGGGAGGGUGCGCCGGAAACUGGAGUGCUCGAACGUGGGAGAGGAAAGCGGAAUUCCUGGUGUAGCGGUGAAAUGCGUAGAUAUCAGGAGGAACACCGGUGGCGAAGGCGGCAUCCUGGACCAAAUCUGACGCUGAGGAGCGAAAGCCAGGGGAGCAAACGGG
rnacentral:rRNA from 1 species